AACGACUCUCGACAACGGAUAUCUCGGCUCUCGCAUCGAUGAAGAACGUAGCGAAAUGCGAUACUUGGUGUGAAUUGCAGAAUCCCGUGAACCAUCGAGUCUUUGAACGCAAGUUGCGCUCGAAGCCAUUAGGCUGAGGGCACGUCUGCUUGGGUGUCACGC
rnacentral:rRNA from 3 species